AAUGGAGGUGAAUGGUUCCCUGACUUCCCUUCACCCUCAUUCCCCUCGAUCCAAACAAGCCCUACACAGUCGGGCUCUUAACCCCCGAUAAUGGCGACGCUAACAGCAACGUCGAGCUCAAAAACCUCAGCUCACAUCGUCUCUCUUCUCUUGCCGAAACCCUAACACUUGCUCCUCUCAAGUUCUCCGCGAUCGCCUAGGGUUAGGGUUAGCGUCCAGGGCGAAACUUCGAUUUCGGGCGUAGAAACCCUAGCUCCGGUUGGCUACGGAUUCUAGCGCUUUCGACGAGGAGGAGAUCCAUUGUAUGCUCUUUUAUGUUGUUGGUGCCUGUUUUUUAAAAGCCUAAAGAGAUAUUGGAAGGGGUGGCUAGACUUCAAAUUUCCAUAUCUUCAAAAUUGAAGAGGACAAUUUUCUUUUGAUGAUGGCUGCUGCAAGGAGACUGCAUGCUACAGACAUAGAAGAGGAGGUCGUGCUGGUGCUUGGGCACAAUCCACUUAUGUUCCCGUUCCUUUCUAAGCGGUCGUCAGGAAAAGAAGCCGUUGAAUUCUUGUUUGGCAGAGAAGUCUUGCUUGAUGUCAGAUGCCAAAUAUACUUGAGACAUAUGAUAUAAAUCUUCAGCUACUCUCAGGUCAAUGGCCAGAGUAAUGGAGAGUGAGAAGUCAGGACUUUUGCCCAGCUCUAUAUUUUCAUCCUUUAGAUAGCAGGAGGCAGUCUCACCUUCCACGUGGCAAGGUGCCGUUGGAGAGUAGCUACUUGACUGGAGAUUUUAGAUGGUAAUGUUCUGUUCCCCUCCUGCAAUACUGGCCACAUCACAAUCUAAUUACUAAUCACACUCACCUACCUCUUGGGAAAAAAAAACCCCUAAUAUUUUCAAUCUAGAAGACAAAUAACAGUAAAGGUAACAUGGAUUUGAGCUACUAUUCAACGAACGUAAGACAAAAGUUAGGCUGGUGGCACAAAUAAUACAAUGAGAAAGAAGCCUGGUAAUGGCAGAGAAUCUUUGUCUUUAACAUGUGUUUUAGUCUGGUAAUCCUACCGUGUGGUUUCCUAUACGCAUGGAUUAUAUGCAAAUCUUAUCGUAGCUAUGCACUAGUUUAAAAAGUCUUCGCCUAGUCUGCUAAGACGUACGCCUAAGUCUAGGCGGUACCUAGGUUGCCUACCUAGCGCAUAACGUAUGGACGGUAUCUAGGCUGCCCACCUAGGUGUUGAGAGUAUUUAGAGGAGCAUUGUCCGCUUAUGGGGAUUGCUUCAUUUAGGUCUUAAUCGUGAUUUUCUGUGUUGCGGUCUUCACGUCCUCCAACCUCGUUUAAAUUCAUUUUAACAUCUAAAUAUGAACACCUCCACUAUUUUCUUUGACCUUCAGCAAAACCUUCUCAACUACCACUUAAAUGAAGAAAGAAAUCUACCUAGACAUCAAUCCGGUACAUAAGCUUUCUAUAAUAUUAACAUUUACUAUUAAUUAUUGUAAUUAAAAAAUAAAAAAAGAAAACCUCCUGAGCUCUAGGCAUUGGAUCUAACGCCUAGGCCUCCAAGUGCUUUCUAUAGCCUUGUUAGCUAUUUUUUUGACUACUUAGUAUUUAAGUAUGUAUAUUAUGGAGCUAAGAUUGUUAUCUUUAUUAUUUUUUCAACUUAUAUGAAUUUAAUAUAUUUUUUAUUAAUUAUUAUAAUUAAAUAAUUUAAAAGGUUUAAGCACCACCUAGAUGUCUAGGUGUUAGGCGCUAGUUCAAAUGCCUAGUCCGCAUAGCACAUUCUGCAACAUUAUAGCUAUGACAUGCCAACCCACACUCAACAGUCUGAACCCUCUUAAUAUAUUACUGAAGGUCAAACAAAAUGCUGACCCUUGGACUAAUCCUAUGAUUUUAUUAUAACCACAUCACAAUCCAUACUAAUCACAGUCACGGAAAAAAAAAACCCUAAAACUUUCUAUCUAAAAGACAAUAAACAAUAAAGGUAACAUGGAUUUGAGCUACUAUUCAACAAGCGUAAGACAAAAUUUACGCUGGUGGCACAAAUAAAGCAAUGAGAUGGAAGCCUGGUAAUGGCAGAGAAUCUUUGUCUUUAACACGUGUUUUAAUCUGGUUAUCUUACUGUGUGGUUUUCUAUAAACAUGGAUUAUAUGCAAAUCUUAUCAUAGCUAUGGCAUGCUACCCACACUCACAGCCUGAACCCUCUUAAACAUAUUACUGAAGGACAUGCAAAAUGCUGACCCUUUGGACUUAAUUGAUUUCCGUGUCCUAUGAUUAAUAGCCUGCCCCCCACAGCUAUCAAUCAGAGCUUUUCCAUUAAUAUAAUAAUAUAAGAGUUCUAGAGUCUUGAAGUUGGGUGUUUAAGAAAAAUAUUUUCCAUAUUUUAAAAGAAAAUCGAGCCUUCGGCGACUCCAGGCUGCUGUCCUUUUUUUUCGCUUUUUUGUUCACAAUCAGCCUCGUUCUGAUUUCGACGUUUCACCUCCCCGUUCUUUAUAGGGAACAUCACACCGAUCUUUUUCUCUCUUUUGACAUGCCUGUCAAUAUAUUUUCUCAAGAUUUUUUGAAGCCGGCCAAAGUGUCACUUUUUGGCAGGUUUUCAAGCAAAAUCGAUUUUUUUAGAGGCGGUUUUGCUUGAAAGCCUGUCAAAAAGUGAUACUUUUGACACUUUUGGUAGGCUUUCAAGAGAGCUUUUCCCUCAAAAACAGGGAGCCAAACAGCCCCUAAAAUGCUAGUUCAGUCCUAUAUUUCUGCUCUUACCAAGACACCGGUGAUUUUCUUUCUGGUUUUGCUGGAACCUGGACUCACGGAGUGGCGUCAAUCGGUAUUGAUCUUUCCUUUCAUUUGACUCACGGAGUGGCAUCAAUCGGUAUUGUAGGGAUACCAUACAUCAUGGUUGGUUAUGUAGUCACCAUCACGUUGAGCUUAUCUUCUAUAGUCCCUUGAUCACCUUUGUUUUAAGAUAUGGAAAGAUCAUGUAGGGCAUAUACAUAUCACGCAUUCUGCAGUUCAUCACAAUCCUAUACCCUGAAAGUAUGAAGGGUACAUUGAAAGAGCAUGGCCUAGCAGCAGAAUACUGUUGGGGGUGUUAAUGUGGUGCAUCUUGAGUGAUGUGUAGCUUGAAUUCAUGGCUCACUCUUGCUGUAGUGAUCCACUACCAGCAAAAGGACAUGCAUCAACUUGUGAUGCCCUACCAAGGACCAACCCGUUGACAUGUACAAUGAGCUGUUCAUGAAUUUCUAGCUUGUAAAAAAUAUAUGUAUAUUCUGAUGGAUUGACAUGAAAUUAUGAAAUUGUUUAGGUCUUAUA